AGAGUUUGAUCCUGGCUCAGGAUGAACGCUAGCGGCAGGCUUAAUACAUGCAAGUCGAGGGGUAACAGGUGUAGCAAUACAUGCUGACGACCGGCGCACGGGUGCGUAACGCGUAUGCAACCUACCUUUAACAGGGGAAUAGCCCCGAGAAAUCGGGAUUAAUACCCCAUAACAUUCAUCAUUCGCAUGUUUGAUGGAUUAAAGCUCCGACGGUUAAAGAUGGGCAUGCGUGGCAUUAGUUAGUUGGUGAGGUAACGGCUCACCAAGACAGCGAUGCCUAGGGGUUCUGAGAGGAUGAUCCCCCACACUGGUACUGAGACACGGACCAGACUCCUACGGGAGGCAGCAGUAAGGAAUAUUGGGCAAUGGACGCAAGUCUGACCCAGCCAUGCCGCGUGCAGGAUGACAGCCCUACGGGUUGUAAACUGCUUUUGUAUAGGAAGAAACUUUCACACGUGUGCGGAACUGACGGUACUGUACGAAUAAGCAUCGGCUAACUCCGUGCCAGCAGCCGCGGUAAUACGGAGGAUGCAAGCGUUAUCCGGAUUUAUUGGGUUUAAAGGGUGCGCAGGCGGAGUAAUAAGUCAGUGGUGAAAUCCUACGGCUCAACUGUAGAACUGCCAUUGAUACUGUUAUUCUUGAGUAUAGUUGAAGUGGGCGGAAUGUAUCAUGUAGCGGUGAAAUGCAUAGAUAUUACACAGAACUCCGAUAGCGAAGGCAGCUUACUAAACUACCACUGACACUGAAGUACGAAAGCGUGGGGAGCGAACAGGAUUAGAUACCCUAGUAGUCC
rnacentral:rRNA from 1 species